rnacentral:piRNA from 1 species
UGUCCUAAAAUCUGUGUUGCUUCUACAGUC